UCAAUAAGCGGAGGAAAAGAAACUAACAAGGAUUCCCCUAGUAACGGCGAGUGAAGCGGGAAGAGCUCAAAUUUGUAAUCUGGCACUUUCAGUGUCCGAGUUGUAAUCUCGAGAAGUGUUUUCCGCGCCGGACCGCAUACAAGUCUGUUGGAAUACAGCGUCAUAGUGGUGAGAACCCCGUAACUGAUGCGGAUGCCCGGUGCUUUGUGAUACACUUUCGAAGAGUCGAGUUGUUUGGGAAUGCAGCUCAAAUUGGGUGGUAAAUUCCAUCUAAAGCUA
rnacentral:rRNA from 17 species